rnacentral:rRNA from 1 species
GACGAACGCUGGCGGCGUGCCUAAUACAUGCAAGUAGAACGCUGAAGGAGGAGCUUGCUUCUCUGGAUGAGUUGCGAACGGGUGAGUAACGCGUAGGUAACCUACCUGGUAGCGGGGGAUAACUAUUGGAAACGAUAGCUAAUACCGCAUAAGAGUAGAUGUCGCAUGACGUUUGCUUAAAAGGUGCAAUUGCAUCACUACCAGAUGGACCUGCGUUGUAUUAGCUAGUUGGUGAGGUAACGGCUCACCAAGGCAACGAUACAUAGCCGACCUGAGAGGGUGAGCGGCCACACUGGGACUGAGACACGGCCCAGACGCCUACGGGAGGCAGCAGUAGGGAAUCGUCGGCAAUGGACGGAAGUCUGACCGAGCAACGCCGCGUGAGUGAAGAAGGUUUUCGGAUCGUAAAGCUCUGUUGUAAGGGAAGAACGAGUGUGAGAGUGGAAAGUUCACACUGUGACGGUAUCUUAUCAGAAAGGGACGGCUAACUACGUG